UACGGGGGGAGCAAGCGUUGUUCGGAUUUACUGGGCGUAAAGGGCGCGUAGGCGGCCACCGCAAGUCAGUUGUGAAAUCUCUGGGCUUAACCCAGAAAGGUCAACUGAUACUGCGGGGCUAGAGUGCAGAAGGGGCAACUGGAAUUCUCGGUGUAGCGGUGAAAUGCGUAGAUAUCGAGAGGAACACCUGCGGCGAAGGCGGGUUGCUGGGCUGACACUGACGCUGAGGCGCGAAAGCUAGGGGGAGCGAACGGG
rnacentral:rRNA from 1 species